rnacentral:rRNA from 1 species
CUGGGAGGACCAUCUCCUAAGGCUAAAUACUCUCUAGUGACCGAUAGUGAACCAGUACCGUGAGGGAAAGGUGAAAAGCACCCCGGAAGGGGAGUGAAAUAGAACCUGAAACCGUGUGCUUACAAGUAGUCAGAGCCCGUUAAUGGGUGAUGGCGUGCCUUUUGUAGAAUGAACCGGCGAGUUACGAUUUGAUGCAAGGUUAAGCAGUAAAUGUGGAGCCGUAGCGAAAGCGAGUCUGAAUAGGGCGUUUAGUAUUUGGUCGUAGACCCGAAACCAGGUGAUCUACCCUUGGUCAGGUUGAAGUUCAGGUAACACUGAAUGGAGGACCGAACCGACUUACGUUGAAAAGUGAGCGGAUGAACUGAGGGUAGCGGAGAAAUUCCAAUCGAACCUGGAGAUAGCUGGUUCUCUCCGAAAUAGCUUUAGGGCUAGCCUCAAGUGAUGAUUAUUGGAGGUAGAGCACUGUUUGGACGAGGGGCCCCUCUCGGGUUACCGAAUUCAGACAAACUCCGAAUGCCAAUUAAUUUAACUUGGGAGUCAGAACAUGGGUGAUAAGGUCCGUGUUCGAAAGGGAAACAGCCCAGACCACCAGCUAAGGUCCCAAAAUAUAUGUUAAGUGGAAAAGGAUGUGGCGUUGCCCAGACAACUAGGAUGUUGGCUUAGAAGCAGCCAUCAUUUAAAGAGUGCGUAAUAGCUCACUAGUCGAGUGACACUGCGCCGAAAAUGUACCGGGGCUAAACAUAUUACCGAAGCUGUGGAUUGUCCUUUGGACAAUGGUAGGAGAGCGUUCUAAGGGCGUUGAAGCAUGAUCGUAAGGACAUGUGGAGCGCUUAGAAGUGAGAAUGCCGGUGUGAGUAGCGAAAGACGGGUGAGAAUCCCGUCCACCGAUUGACUAAGGUUUCCAGAGGAAGGCUCGUCCGCUCUGGGUUAGUCGGGUCCUAAGCUGAGGCCGACAGGCGUAGGCGAUGGAUAACAGGUUGAUAUUCCUGUACCACCUAUAAUCGUUUUAAUCGAUGGGGGGACGCAGUAGGAUAGGCGAAGCGUGCGAUUGGAUUGCACGUCUAAGCAGUAAGGCUGAUUAUUAGGCAAAUCCGGUACUCGUUAAGGCUGAGCUGUGAUGGGGAGAAGACAUUGUGUCUUCGAGUCGUUGAUUUCACACUGCCGAGAAAAGCCUCUAGAUAGAAAAUAGGUGCCCGUACCGCAAACCGACACAGGUAGUCAAGAUGAGAAUUCUAAGGUGAGCGAGCGAACUCUCGUUAAGGAACUCGGCAAAAUGACCCCGUAACUUCGGGAGAAGGGGUGCUCUUUAGGGUUAACGCCCAGAAGAGCCGCAGUGAAUAGGCCCAAGCGACUGUUUAUCAAAAACACAGGUCUCUGCUAAACCGUAAGGUGAUGUAUAGGGGCUGACGCCUGCCCGGUGCUGGAAGGUUAAGAGGAGUGGUUAGCUUCUGCGAAGCUACGAAUCGAAGCCCCAGUAAACGGCGGCCGUAACUAUAACGGUCCUAAGGUAGCGAAAUUCCUUGUCGGGUAAGUUCCGACCCGCACGAAAGGCGUAACGAUUUGGGCACUGUCUCAACGAGAGACUCGGUGAAAUCAUAGUACCUGUGAAGAUGCAGGUUACCCGCGACAGGACGGAAAGACCCCGUGGAGCUUUACUGUAGCCUGAUAUUGAAAUUCGGCACAGCUUGUACAGGAUAGGUAGGAGCCUUUGAAACGUGAGCGCUAGCUUACGUGGAGGCGCUGGUGGGAUACUACCCUAGCUGUGUUGGCUUUCUAACCCGCACCACUUAUCGUGGUGGGAGACAGUGUCAGGCGGGCAGUUUGACUGGGGCGGUCGCCUCCUAAAAGGUAACGGAGGCGCUCAAAGGUUCCCUCAGAAUGGUUGGAAAUCAUUCAUAGAGUGUAAAGGCAUAAGGGAGCUUGACUGCGAGACCUACAAGUCGAGCAGGGUCGAAAGACGGACUUAGUGAUCCGGUGGUUCCGCAUGGAAGGGCCAUCGCUCAACGGAUAAAAGCUACCCCGGGGAUAACAGGCUUAUCUCCCCCAAGAGUUCACAUCGACGGGGAGGUUUGGCACCUCGAUGUCGGCUCAUCGCAUCCUGGGGCUGUAGUCGGUCCCAAGGGUUGGGCUGUUCGCCCAUUAAAGCGGUACGCGAGCUGGGUUCAGAACGUCGUGAGACAGUUCGGUCCCUAUCCGUCGUGGGCGUAGGAAAUUUGAGAGGAGCUGUCCUUAGUACGAGAGGACCGGGAUGGACAUACCUCUGGUGUACCAGUUGUCGUGCCAACGGCAUAGCUGGGUAGCUAUGUGUGGACGGGAUAAGUGCUGAAAGCAUCUAAGCAUGAAGCCCCCCUCAAGAUGAGAUUUCCCAACUUCGGUUAUAAGAUCCCUCAAAGAUGAUGAGGUUAAUAGGUUCGAGGUGGAAGCAUGGUGACAUGUGGAGCUGACGAAUACUAAUCGAUCGAAGACUUAAUCAA